rnacentral:rRNA from 1 species
UACAGAGGUCCCAAGCGUUGUUCGGAUUCACUGGGCGUAAAGGGUGCGUAGGUGGUCGGGUAAGUCUGAUGUGAAAUCUCCGAGCUUAACUCGGAAAUGGCAUUGGAUACUAUUCGGCUAGAGGGUUUGAGGGGGGACUGGAAUACUUGGUGUAGCAGUGAAAUGCGUAGAUAUCAAGUGGAACACCAGUGGCGAAGGCGAGUCCCUGGAAAACUCCUGACACUGAGGCACGAAAGCUAGGGGAGCGAACGGG